rnacentral:rRNA from 1 species
GUGGGGAAUUUUGGACAAUGGGGGCAACCCUGAUCCAGCCAUGCCGCGUGCGGGAAGAAGGCCUUCGGGUUGUAAACCGCUUUUGUCAGGGAAGAAAUCCUUUGGGUUAAUACCUCGGAGGGAUGACGGUACCUGAAGAAUAAGCACCGGCUAACUACGUGCCAGCAGCCGCGGUAAUACGUAGGGUGCGAGCGUUAAUCGGAAUUACUGGGCGUAAAGCGUGCGCAGGCGGUUUUGUAAGAUCGAUGUGAAAUCCCCGGGCUCAACCUGGGAACUGCAUUGGUGACUGCAAGGCUGGAGUGCGGCAGAGGGGGAUGGAAUUCCGCGUGUAGCAGUGAAAUGCGUAGAUAUGCGGAGAAACACCGAUGGCGAAGGCAAUCCCCUGGGCCUGCACUGACGCUCAUGCACGAAAGCGUGGGGAGCAAACAGGAUUAGAAACCCGAGUAGUCC